AGGUACCACUCAAGGACGAGGGACCAAGGUCCCCAAACUAAAAAACACAAGAAUGCUAGGUAAUACUCUAACCAUGCCCAAAGUGACCUAUGACCUCGCAUCAAGCGGUGCUUUCUAAGGCCCAAGAAUUCCUCUUCUAGGUGGGAUGACCUGCACCAUGUUUCCUUUGCAGGAUGUCAUGUUUGGCCUCAAGUUUCCCUCACCUAGAAGAGAAGUUAUGGGUACCAAAAAGAUUUGCAGGAUGACAUAUUUAAGUAUGCACCGAGCUAGUGACCUUUAUGGUCUACCAUGAAGAGUAGUCUAGGGCCACGAAGGAACAAGAAGCGAGUAAGUUACCUUAGCCAAGAAUCAAGAACCUCUUAAGACCUCCCACGGUUCAACAUUCUCAUGACUUAGACUAUGCUAAUCAACAACUGAAUUUCACACCACCAAUUAAACGGAAAUCAAGAAGACGUUACAAAGAUGAGGCGUUUCACAGAUAUAAAAUGGGGAACUGAUAUCCAAACAUUCCAUUGUAGCAAGGAAUAAGAGAAGAAACAAACAUUCCAUUGUAGCAAGGAAUAAGAGAAGAAAAGAAUGGCGGGACAAAGCUUGAGUAAUCUCAAAAUUGUGGUGUUCAUCUUCCUAGCCCUUACUUCUGGAUGGAUGGUGGUGCAGACAGAGGGGCGGACAUGCUAUAAGCACAGCGAUGCAUUUAUAGGACCGUGCAUUGCAGCAACAUGUGCUGAACUUUGCAUUUCUUUUGAGAAGUGGGAUGACGGAUUUUGCUCGGGUGAUAAAUGCACUUGUACGAAGCAAUGUGCUGAGUCCAUGCUUUAAUGGGUUUGUAAUUCACCACAGUUGUUGCUAUCUGAAUGUAAUAAGCGACUCCAAUUCUACUGAAUUGCACAACAUGUUUACUAAUCAAAGCUUCCUUCUUCCAUUUUAUAAUUUUUA